rnacentral:rRNA from 1 species
UACGUAGGGUGCAAGCGUUGUCCGGAAUUAUUGGGCGUAAAGAGCUCGUAGGCGGCUUGUCGCGUCGGCUGUGAAAACCUGGGGCUCAACCCCGGGCCUGCAUCCGAUACGGGCAAGCUAGAAUUCGGUAGGGGAGACUGGAAUUCCUGGUGUAGCGGUGAAAUGCGCAGAUAUCAGGAGGAACACCGGUGGCGAAGGCGGUUCUCUGGGCCGAAAUUGACGCUGAGGAGCGAAAGCGUGGGGAGCAAACAGG